rnacentral:rRNA from 1 species
AGAGUUUGAUCCUGGCUCAGGAUAAACGCUGGCGGUGUGCAUUAUGCAUGCAAGUCGAACGGUUCUUCCCGCAAGGGAAGAAUAGUGGCAGACGGGUGAGUAACACGUAAGUAACUUGCCCUCAAGUGGGGAACAACUUCGGGAAACCGAGGCUAAUACCGCAUGUGAUGGCCUUUCGCAGGGAAGGUCAUCAAAGCCGUAAGGCGCUUGAGGAGGGGCUUGCGGUCGAUUAGCUUGUUGGUGGGGUAAUGGCCUACCAAGGCUUCGAUCGAUAGCUGGUCUGAGAGGACGAUCAGCCACACUGGGACUGAGAUACGGCCCAGACUCCUACGGGAGGCAGCAGCAAGGAAUUUUGGGCAAUGGGCGAAAGCCUGACCCAGCAACACCGCGUGGGGGAUGACGGCCCUCUGGUUGUAAACCCCUUUUUCUCAGGGAAGAAUAAUGACGGUACCUGAGGAAUAAGCUUCGGCGAACUACGUGCCAGCAGCCGCGGUAAUACGUAGGAAGCGAGCGUUAUCCGGAAUUACUGGGCGUAAAGCGCGCGUAGGUGGUCUUUCAAGUCGAAUGUGAAAUUUCCCGGCUUAACCGGGAAGGGUCAUUUGAUACUGUUGGACUAGAGAGCGGCAGGGGGAAGCGGAAUUCCCGGUGUAGUAGUGAAAUGCGUAGAUAUCGGGAGGAACACCAGUGGCGAAGGCGGCUUCCUGGGCUGUUUCUGACACUGAGGCGCGAAAGUGUGGGUAGCGAACAGAAUUAGAUACUCUGGUAGUCCACACCGUAAACGAUGGGUACUAGGUAUAGGGAGUAUCGACCCUCUUUGUGCCGAAGCUAACGCUUUAAGUACCCCGCCUGGGGACUACGGCCGCAAGGCUAAAACUCAAAGGAAUUGACGGGGGCCCGCACAAGCAGCGGAGCGUGUGGUUUAAUUCGAUUCAACACGAAAAACCUUACCAGGGUUUGACAUGCUGGAAGUAGGGACCCGAAAGGGCGACGACCUGUUAAGUCAGGAGCCAGCACAGGUGCUGCAUGGCUGUCGUCAGCUCGUGCCGUGAGGUGUAUGGUUAAGUCCUGCAACGAGCGCAACCCUCGUUGCUAGUUAAAUUCUCUAGCGAGACUGCCCCGCAAAACGGGGAGGAAGGUGGGGAUGACGUCAAGUCAGCAUGGCCCUUAUGUCCUGGGCUACACACACGCUACAAUGGGUGGUACAAUGGGUUGCGACAUAGCAAUAUGUAGCUAAUCCCCAAAGCCAUCCUCAGUUCAGAUUGCAGGCUGAAACUCGCCUGCAUGAAGUCGGAGUUGCUAGUAACCGCAUAUCAGCAUGUUGCGGUGAAUACGUUCUCGGGCCUUGUACACACCGCCCGUCAAGUCAUGAAAGCCGGUAACACCUGAAGUCGAUAGGCUAACCCGCAAGGGAGGCAGUCGCCGAGGGUGGGACUGGUGAUUGGGACUAAGUCGUAACAAGGUA